rnacentral:rRNA from 1 species
UGGGGAAUCUUGCGCAAUAGGCGAAAGCCUGACGCAGCAACGCCGCGUGAGCGAAGACGGCCUUCGGGUUGUAAAGCUCUGUCAGGAGGGACGAAGCCACUCGGGUGAACAGCCCAGAGGGUGACGGUACCUCCACAGGAAGCCCCGGCUAACUACGUGCCAGCAGCCGCGGUAAUACGUAGGGGGCGAGCGUUGUCCGGAAUCAUUGGGCGUAAAGCGCGUGUAGGCGGCCGACCAAGUCCGGUGUGAAAGCUCAGGGCUCAACCCUGAGUCUGGAAUGGAAACUGGCCGGCUUGAGGCCGGAAGAGGAGAAUGGAAUUCCUGGUGUAGCGGUGAAAUGCGCAGAUAUCAGGAAGAACAACGGUGGCGAAGGCGGGUCUCUGGGACGGUACUGACGCUGAGACGCGAAAGCGUGGGGAGCAAACAG